CGCUGGCGGCAGGCCUAACACAUGCAAGUCGAGCGGUAACACAGGAGAGCUUGCUCUCUGGGUGACGAGCGGCGGACGGGUGAGUAAUGUCUGGGAAACUGCCCGAUGGAGGGGGAUAACUACUGGAAACGGUAGCUAAUACCGCAUAACGUCUUCGGACCAAAGAGGGGGACCUUCGGGCCUCUUGCCAUCGGAUGUGCCCAGAUGGGAUUAGCUAGUAGGUGGGGUAAUGGCUCACCUAGGCGACGAUCCCUAGCUGGUCUGAGAGGAUGACCAGCCACACUGGAACUGAGACACGGUCCAGACUCCUACGGGAGGCAGCAGUGGGGAAUAUUGCACAAUGGGCGCAAGCCUGAUGCAGCCAUGCCGCGUGUAUGAAGAAGGCCUUCGGGUUGUAAAGUACUUUCAGCGAGGAGGAAGGCGUUGCGGUUAAUAACCGCAGCGAUUGACGUUACUCGCAGAAGAAGCACCGGCUAACUCCGUGCCAGCAGCCGCGGUAAUACGGAGGGUGCAAGCGUUAAUCGGAAUUACUGGGCGUAAAGCGCACGCAGGCGGUCUGUCAAGUCGGAUGUGAAAUCCCCGGGCUCAACCUGGGAACUGCAUUCGAAACUGGCAGGCUAGAGUCUUGUAGAGGGGGGUAGAAUUCCAGGUGUAGCGGUGAAAUGCGUAGAGAUCUGGAGGAAUACCGGUGGCGAAGGCGGCCCCCUGGACAAAGACUGACG
rnacentral:rRNA from 1 species